AGUUGUAGUGAGGGCUGAUAAUAGUGAGUGCAGGUGAAUUAUGGGAGUUGUAGUGAUUGCUGAUAAUAGUGGGUGCAGGUGAAUUAUGGGAGUUGUAGUGAGGGCUGAUUGAUAGUGGGUGCAGGUGAAUUAUGGGAGUUGUAGUGAGGGCUGAUUGAUAGUGGGUGCAGGUGAAUUAUGGGAGUUGUAGUGAGGGCUGAUAAUAGUGGGUGCAGGUGAAUUAUGGGAGUUGUAGUGAGGGCUGAUAAUAGUGGGUGCAGGUGAAUUAUGGGAGUUGUAGUGAGGGCUGAUAAUAGUGGGUGCAGGUGAAUUAUGGGAGUUGUAGUAAGGGCUGAUAAUAGUGGGUGCAGGUGAAUUAUGGGAGUUGUAGUGAGGGCUGAUAAUAGUGGGUGCAGGUGAAUUAUGGGAGUUGUAGUGAGGGCUGAUAAUAGUGGGUGCAGGUGAAUUAUGGGAGUUGUAGUGAGGGCUGAUAAUAGUGGGUGCAGGUGAAUUAUGGGAGUUGUAGUGAGGGCUGAUAAUAGUGGGUGCAGGUGAAUUAUGGGAGUUGUAGUGAGGGCUGAUAAUAGUGGGUGCAGGUGAAUUAUGGGAGUUGUAGUAAGGGCUGAUAAUAGUGGGUGCAGGUGAAUUAUGGGAGUUGUAGUGAGGGCUGAUAAUAGUGGGUGCAGGUGAAUUAUGGGAGUUGUAGUGAGGGCUGAUAAUAGUGGGUGCAGGUGAAUUAUGGGAGUUGUAGUGAGGUCUGAUAAUAGUGGGUGCAGGUGAAUUAUGGGAGAUGUAGUAAGGGCUGAUAAUAGUGGGUUCAGGUGAAUUAUGGGAGUUGUAGUGAGGUCUGAUAAUAGUGGGUGCAGGUGAAUUAUGGUAGUUGUAGUAAGGGCUGAUAAUAGUGGGUGCAGGUGAAUUAUGGGAGUUGUAGUAAGGGCUGAUAAUAGUGGGUACAGGUGAAUUAUGGGAGUUGUAGUGAG